AUGUUCUCCACAUCUCUACUGCUCCUGCUGGCAGCUGCUUCUUAUGUGCAUGGUGAAGAACUGACUCAGCCUGCUUCCAUGACAGUCCAGCCAGCCCAGAGUCUCUCCAUCAACUGCAACGUUUCAUAUUCAGUUACCAGCUAUUAUACAGCUUGGAUCCAACUGCCUGCAGGAAAAGAUCUGGAGUGGAUUGGAAACAUCUAUAGCGGUGGGAGUACAGCUUACAGUGACAAACUAAAAAAUAAGUUCAGCAUCUCCAGAGACACUGCUACAAACACAGUAACAAUUGGACAGAAUCUGCAAACUGAAGAUACAGCUGUGUAUUACUGACACAGAAUAGUGGAUUCCCCUUACAAAUACUUUGACAUGUGUUAGAGACAUCAUCUCAAUGCAACUAAU